rnacentral:tRNA from 1 species
AGGAAAGUAGUUCAAUUGGCAGAGCACCGGUCUCCAAAACCGGGGGUUGCAGGUUCGACUCCUGUCUUUCCUGCCA